GCCGGGCAGGGUCGCGUCUGCCUGUGACCCGAGCGGGGGUAAGGGUGUUUGAACGGCCGGGUUUUCCGGUCAGGCCCCGGUCGCUUACCGAUCACGGCUCCGCUUCAAGCCAGCGGUCCGCAGCGGUCGCUCCCGGAGGGGAGCGGUCGUGGCGGUUGCAGAGGCGGGAAUCGCGUCAGGCGGGAAACCGAGCAGCGCAAACCGUCCGCCGUUGGCAGUGAAGGGAUAGGCUGUGUGAGAGCUGCUGGGGAGUUCCCUGGUUGGGGGCUCCGGUCGAACUUGCAUCC
rnacentral:SRP_RNA from 1 species